GACUCAAAACUGAACAAAACCAUGAAACAAAAAUAUAUUUUUGAAAUAACGUACUAGUGGUGCACAAAUUACUCUUUUGAAAGCCCAACAGUCCAAACAAUUUGAUCAUCUAGAAGUCUUCUGAGAUACAAUUGAUAGCUUCAGGAAAACGCUCGCUCGCACUCGCAGAACUCAGAAUCAGCCUUAUCGAAAUCGUUCUCAGUUAAAUGGGGCCUUGGAGAAAUUUUCGCCAUGGGAGAUGUGUCUUUGAAGACAAAGACAAACGGGACUAUGAUCUUUGGAGUAGACCUUGCAUUGGUUCAGGGAACCACCAAGAAGAAGCCUACGAGAGGAAGAAAAUAGAUAAACGCAUGCUGGUUUUCUGAUACAACCGUAUACGACAUCUUUGGUUUUUUCGUCACAACCACAAAAUCGGUUUUACGUCAAAACCACAAAAUUGCGUUUUAGCACCAAAAAAUGUUAACGGAAAGAUUGUUUAAGAAUUAACAACAACAAAAAA